rnacentral:rRNA from 1 species
GAUGAACGCUGGCGGCGUGCUUAACACAUGCAAGUCGAACGGGAAACCUUUUAUUGAAGCUUCGGCAGAUUUAGCUGGUUUCUAGUGGCGGACGGGUGAGUAACGCGUGGGUAACCUGCCCUAUACAGGGGGAUAACAACCAGAAAUGGUUGCUAAUACCGCAUAAGCGCACAGGACCGCAUGGUCCGGUGUGAAAAACUCCGGUGGUAUAGGAUGGACCCGCGUUGGAUUAGCCAGUUGGCAGGGUAACGGCCUACCAAAGCGACGAUCCAUAGCCGGCCUGAGAGGGUGAACGGCCACAUUGGGACUGAGACACGGCCCAGACUCCUACGGGAGGCAGCAGUGGGGAAUAUUGCACAAUGGGGGAAACCCUGAUGCAGCGACGCCGCGUGAAGGAAGAAGUAUCUCGGUAUGUAAACUUCUAUCAGCAGGGAAGAUAGUGACGGUACCUGACUAAGAAGCCCCGGC